UCGUAGCAGAAUAAAGGAGAGUAAAGAUUCGAGCAGAGCUGUAGUCAUAGCAAUAAUGAUGCAAUGAAAUUCCACCCCUAUUCUAUAUGGGGACGCCAAGAGUUUCAAUUGGUGGGUACGUUUAUGAGAAAUUCAUUAGUUGAUGAUAAUAUCCUCUUUAUCUAACGGGAGGACAUCUAAGAGUCGGAAAGGUUUUGAAAUAGUUUCAUCUUCACGUGGGAAAGCGCGAUUCUCUACAUUUAUCUAAUUCGCAUAUUGGUUUGGGUGGCUGUAGCACCACCCAGUUGGCAGGAGAUUCGACAGACUCUAUACACUUUCAGUGAUUAGCCAUUAAACAGGAAGCCAUUGUUCCACCACCGAACAGUAUGCGAACCUAUGUCAUACAUCUAGAGGGUACCCAUCAUAGACCAGUCUUGGAACAUGUUCCUUAUCUUGACCCAGAUGAUAGAUUUCU
rnacentral:lncRNA from 1 species